rnacentral:lncRNA from 1 species
CGCGGCUGGGAGCGCGAAGCGGCGUGCGCGUGCGCGAGGGCUGCCCGCCUCUCUUCGCCGAGCGGGCGCGUCCCGCGGAGCUCAGCGUGGAGCCUCGGUCCUUCCGCUCCCUUCGGCUCCAAAGCGUUCGGCUCCACUCCUUUUCCUUCUGAGUGACAGAAGUUCUCGUAAAAAUACGAGAGCCCGCGUUUCAGAGAUGAAAAUGCCCAGAAGCUGUGUGCACGGAAAUAGGCCGCGGGGCAAUGUGAGUUACAGCAGGAGCUGCGCCUGGGGGGCCUUCCCAGCGCCGAAAGGGGCUGCUGGGAUCUGCCAAAGGAACGCUCGCUGCUGCCUGGCUUCGGGCUACCUUAGCUGUGAUUAUCUGGAUCCAGCAACAGUUGUGGUGGUUAAUGUGGUUUGUUGGCUCAGUAAGAACUGAACUAACAGAGUAGUCCUAUUUCUUUCCCUUUUGCACCAGUGGAACUCCACGCUCCUAUCCGCAGAGCAGCCACCCGGCAACCAUGCUGCUGUUUGUCCCAGCUGUUCUUCCUGCACUUGUUUUCCUUCUUCCAGGCCAACCAGUUAAUUGAAAAGGUCUUUGUGAAUCAGAAUGCGCACAUCACGCUCACAAAACACAGGACAUUAGUUAGAAAUAUAUUUUAAUUUACACUAAGCAAUAAUACAAAAUAGUUGAGCUUGUAAAAGCCCACCAUGAUGAUGAAACCAUUUGAAAGGCAGUGGGACUCGAUUCCGUGCAUUGUUACUCCUUCCAGGAGUCAGGAAUACGCAUCCCCACUCAACCAACCAACCAGACAGGUCUACAUUUCUGCCACAAAACAGAGACGUGUAUGAAACUCCCAAACUGGGGAGAAGAAUGUGGAAGAAACAAAUAUUUGAGCCACCAAGAAAAGGUUUUUUCAAGUUCUAGUGCCCUCACAAUGCAGGUGUCCUUAUCAAAGCAAGAGGACUUCACUGAUCUCCAGUACGCCUGGAGUGUAUGACACUGGAGCUCCCUUCAUCCACUGCUCAGCCCGGGAGCUGGAUUGGUACACAGGGUGGAGAAACAAAGUCCUCAGAUUUUCUGCUCAUUGGGAGGGGUUGAUGGUCAGCUUCAGUACUGGAAGCUGCGUUUGGUCUGAAUGUCGUCAAGAAUCUGCUGCAAUUCCUCAUCUUCAAAUCGUCCCUCCAGGCUAGGAAUCAAAGCUUUGGCUUCCUCAGCAGUCUCAGGACACAAGUUGGCCAAACAUGCCAAUUCAAAUUUAUGGAGCUUUUUUUGGAGCAGCAAGCUACGGACACUGGCGAUGGUCUCGCGGUUUUUGAAGCGGCUGAAGCGUGCUGUGUAAUUCAGAGUCUUCAUGAAGACUUCUGACAGCUCCUGCUCAUCUUCUGCACUCUCGUUCUGUUGCUUGCGAUGCUCAAGAAGCAUAUGCACUUCUGAAUUCAGCAGAGUUUCUGCAGUCUCGAAUUCUUUGGGGAAGACGAGCUGCGAGGCGUCCUCUUCCACAUCUGCAGUCCUCGGGUCGCUGCCACCCGCCGCCAUUGCCUCACCCGGAAAUGGAAGACGCGGCGCCCGGAAGCGGAAGACCCGGCGGCCGGAAGUGCAGCGCAUUGAGUCCCGGCGCCCGCCAGGGGGAGCUGCGCUGACAGGAGCGGGCGGGGGCGGACCUUGCGGGUGUGUGUGUGUGAGUGGCAGGGCAGGCGGUUGUGGGUGAACGAGAGCUUUUAGGCCCGAAGUCUUACAAACACACGAACCGAUGAACCCCGAUCCAAGAGAGCAUCUGCUUCCUCCAGGGGGACCGCUGAGGGAAACCAUACAGCUGUGCUUUCGCACAGACAAACCCAGAGGAGGAGCUGCUGCGCUCACACAGUCACGCACAGUUAAGUGGGAGCUGCAGGUGCACCUCCACCUGCCUGACUGCACAUCACAGUGCGCUUUGAGCUCUGUGCACCUCCAUUUUGCUGCCUCGGAAUGAAGGCAGCAAACGAUGUCUCCAGGAAACUACCCAUGCCAGCAUUACAUCUGUCUCACUAUGGUAAAUACAUGGAAGUGUGGUGGGAAGGAGCAUGGAUAGCAAUAGCAGCACGCUCUGGGAAGGAAAUUGCCUUCUUUGGGCUACUGAGGAGUAAUCUGUCGACCCCUGAAAGCUUCAAGCAGGCUGGAAAUGACUGGAUUCCUCCUGACACUGUUGGAGGAUGGCCAGCAAAGUAAUGUGUGUGGUACUACGUUCCCUGGGGGACGCACAUGAAAGUGCCCAACAAGCUUAAGACUUAUAGUAAUCAUCUUAGCAGACUGUACAAUGUCAUCCCGUGCCCUUAAAGAAAUGCAGAAAUAGAUAGCUGGAGGAUUUACUGUUGAGGCCACUCCUGCUCUCCUGAGCUCACUUCUGUGCCAGCUGCAGUGCUUCCUGCGCCCUGGGGGAGGGGCACAGCCAGUGUGUGCUCUACCAGGAGCUACAGGAUCAGGUCUUCGGUCCUUAAUGUUUGUUAACGCUAUACGAGCGUGGCAGAGAAGCUAACUGAAAACGAAUUAGCUAAGUAGUACAAACAGAAAGACAUUCGGGAAGAUAGCAUAGAAAUAUCUCAGACCAUCAAGUGAAUGAGGCUAUUUCAAUUAUGUUUACAAGAAAACAAGGAAAUCCACUCCAGAUUGAUGAGAGUAGCCUUUUAAAAUCAUUUGGAAUCCCAAUGGCGUCUCACAUAACCUGUCUCCUCAGAACAUCGUGAUCUCAAGUAGUAGGUAGCUUGCAGUCUCAGUUACAAAUUUAACUUUUGUUGUUCCCCAGUGAUCUCUCCUACUUAAGUACAUGAAAACUGAAACCAUUCAGGGAAAGCCACAUACCUGCAAGAGCAUAAAGGUACAGCCAAGGAAGCUGUGGUGGUGGGUAAUGACUCACUGCCACUGCCAUAUUUGGUUUUGGUCUCAGGUUUUAGACAUGAGCCUACUGUUGCAUAGUCUGGGGCAGAAAAUACUGACCAUUGCAGGGUUUGGGACAUUGGUGGUUUGUUAGGCAGACCCACUACAGCAAUUUCUUCCUUCCCUCAGUUUAAGAACAGACCCACUAACAACUGACUGCACAAACACAGUAACAACACACACGCACACACACGAAACAACAACAACAAAAAACCCAAAACACCUUUAGCUAAACAUCUGUGUAGUAAAAUAUAGGAAUAUCUAAUAACAAAUAUGUUCAGUUAUCAGCGUUGCUGUACUUCCUAAUGCCU